rnacentral:rRNA from 1 species
CACGGUGGAUGCCCUGGCAGUCAGAGGCGAUGAAGGACGUGCUAAUCUGCGAAAAGCGUCGGUAAGGUGAUAUGAACCGUUAUAACCGGCGAUGUCCGAAUGGGGAAACCCAGUGCAAUUCGUUGCACUAUCGUUAACUGAAUACAUAGGUUAACGAGGCGAACCGGGGGAACUGAAACAUCUAAGUACCCCGAGGAAAAGAAAUCAACCGAGAUUCCCCCAGUAGCGGCGAGCGAACGGGGAGCAGCCCAGAGUCUGAAUCAGCUUGUGUGUUAGUGGAACGGUCUGGAAAGUCCGACGGUACAGGG